rnacentral:rRNA from 1 species
GACGAACGCUGGCGGCGUGCUUAACACAUGCAAGUCGAACGAUGAAGCUGGAGCUUGCUCUGGUGGAUUAGUGGCGAACGGGUGAGUAACACGUGAGUAACCUGCCCUGGACUCUGGGAUAACCCCGAGAAAUCGGAGCUAAUACCGGAUACGACCUUGGAUCGCAUGAUCUGGGGUGGAAAGUUUUUCGGUCUGGGAUGGACUCGCGGCCUAUCAGCUUGUUGGUGAGGUAAUGGCUCACCAAGGAGUCGACGGGUAGCCGGCCUGAGAGGGUGACCGGCCACACUGGGACUGAGACACGGCCCAGACUCCUACGGGAGGCAGCAGUGGGGAAUAUUGCACAAUGGGCGCAAGCCUGAUGCAGCAACGCCGCGUGCGGGAUGACGGCCUUCGGGUUGUAAACCGCUUUUAGUAAGGAAGAAGCCGCAAGGUGACGGUACUUGCAGAAAAAGGACCGGCUAACUACGUGCCAGCCGCCGCAGUAACAC